UACGUAGGGGGCGAGCGUUAUCCGGAUUUACUGGGCGUAAAGCGAGUUAAGGCGGUUGGCAAAGUUGGUUGUGAAAUCUCAGGGCUCAACCCUGAAAUUGCGACCAAUACUGGUCGACUAGAGUGCAGGAGAGGAAGGUGGAAUUCCCGGUGUAGUAGUGAAAUGCGUAGAUAUCGGAAGGAACACCUGUGGCGAAAGCGGCUCACUGGACCAUUACUGACGCUGAUGCACGAAAGCUAGGGGAGCAAACAGG
rnacentral:rRNA from 1 species